rnacentral:tRNA from 1 species
GAGGGUAUAGCUCAGUGGCAGAGUGUGUGUUUAUCAUAAGCACAAGAUCGUGGGUCCAAUCCCCCGUAUCUCCA